UACGGAGGAUGCAAGCGUUAUCCGGAUUCAUUGGGUUUAAAGGGUGCGUAGGCGGACUAUUAAGUCAGUGGUGAAAGCCUGCAGCUUAACUGCAGAACUGCCAUUGAUACUGAUAGUCUUGAGUUUGGUUAAGGUAGGCGGAAUGUGUAAUGUAGCGGUGAAAUGCUUAGAUAUUACACAGAACACCAAUUGCGUAGGCAGCUUACUGAGCUGACACUGACGCCGAGGCACGAAAGCGUGGGGAUCGAACAGGA
rnacentral:rRNA from 1 species